rnacentral:rRNA from 1 species
CAAUAAGCGGAGGAAAAGAAACCAACAGGGAUUGCCCUAGUAACGGCGAGUGAAGCGGCAACAGCUCAAAUUUGAAAUCUGGCCCUUUCAGGGUCCGAGUUGUAAUUUGUAGAGGAUGCUUUUGGGCAGCCACCGGUCUAAGUUCCUUGGAACAGGACGUCAUAGAGGGUGAGAAUCCCGUAUGUGACUGGACAGGCACCCUUUGUAAAGCUCCUUCGACGAGUCGAGUUGUUUGGGAAUGCAGCUCUAAAUGGGAGGUAAAUUUCUUCUAAAGCUAAAUACCGGCCAGAGACCGAUAGCGCACAAGUAGAGUGAUCGAAAGAUGAAAAGCACUUUGGAAAGAGAGUUAAAAAGCACGUGAAAUUGUUGAAAGGGAAGGGCUUGCAAUUAGACUUGCCCGCAGUUGUUCAGCUGGUCUUCUGACCGGUUUAUUCUUCUGCGGGCAGGCCAGCAUCAGUUUCGGCGGCCGGAUAAAGGCUCUGGGAAUGUGGCUGUCCUUCGGGGCAGUGUUAUAGCCCAGGGUGUAAUACGGCCAGCCGGGACUGAGGUCCGCGCUUCGGCUAGGAUGCUGGCGUAAUGAUUGUAAGCCGCCCGUCUUGAAACACGGACA